GAUAGCUCAGUCGGUAGAGCAUAAGACUCUUAAUCUUAGGGUUGUGGGUUUGAGUCCCAUAUUGCG